GAUGAAGAACUCAGCGAAAUGCGAUACUUGGUGUGAAUUGCAGAAUCCCGUGAACCAUCGAGUCUUUGAACGCAAGUUGCGCCCGAAGCCAUUAGGCCGAGGGCACGCCUGCCUGGGCGUCACACGUCGUUGCCCCCCCAUCUACUCCUUCGGGAUUGCGGGGGGCGGAUGAUGGCCUCCCGUGCGCCUCGUCGCGCGGUUGGCCUAAAUGCCAAGUCCUCGGCGACGCACGCCACGACAAUCGGUGGUUGCGAAACCUCGGUUGCCCGUCGUGUGCGGUCGUCGCGCAUCGAGGGCUCGAAAAAAUUGCCGGGCUUCGGCUCGACUUUCAACGCGACCCCAGGUCAGGCGGGGUUACCCGCUGAAUUUAAGCAUAUCAAUAAGCGGAGGA
rnacentral:misc_RNA from 1 species